ensembl:processed_transcript 4930483J18Rik RIKEN cDNA 4930483J18 gene
UCCGCACCCUCCCCCCUACCCGCCUGGGAGCGACAGCCGUAUCGACCAAUCAGAAACCUAGCGCCGUUAGGGCUAGCCCGAUUUAGGGGGCGUUCGCCGAAGGAAGAGGAACGAGGGAGGCUAGUACGGCGGCGCGACUUCUGUGACUGACAUCAUAGCGCAGCCAAUCGGUAACUGAGAGAUGACUUCAUCGCUGAAGGAAGUCUGGAACUGGCGGAGCGGCCGCCAAGAGGCCACCAUCCACUGGAUAAACUGAAGUAUGAUUGCCCCAGAGUCCAACGUGGAAAACCAGAACAUCUACAGUCAACAAGCCCAGUCUUGAGGGGCUCUUGCAAGAUAGCUGUGCUUUUGCAAGGACAGAGCUGCUGGACACAAGGAAAAAGAAAGAAGGUUCUGGAGAACAGAGUCCCCAGUGUGAGAGCAAGGGUUAACACUGUAGAAGCAGAAACCCUCAGGGGCAUCCUGACAGACAUGGGAAGCCACAGUGACUGGAAGGAGGUAACGCAUGUUACAUCUCUGAGUGAGUUACUCUGUAUGGCUUCCGUUCUCCCCCGGAAAUCUCCCAGACUUCUCAGUGGUGUGUGGCUCUGUUGGGAUAGGAGAAGGAGCUGCAACUCUCUCUAUCCACUGCAGUAAGCCAGCCCGGCCCUGAGUAAUUCCCAGUUAUUCAUCUGUAAGUCAGCUUCAAGUUCCGUACCAUGUGUCUCAUCACAGAACCUUGGAGGUAGCCCAGAUCCUGUGGCCUCUUAGUCACACCUUCCCUCCCAAGAUUAAAAAAAAAAAAAAAGAAAGAAAGAAAAAAAAAAACCACAAAAGCCCUAAUAAAAUUAUAUGUUCAAUAACUAUAUAUGCUAUAUAAAUAAAAACUUAAAAUGAAAUAA